rnacentral:misc_RNA from 1 species
CUGGGGCGUAAAUCGAUUUCUUCGUCCUGUCCGGUUCCCAUUUCCUUAUUGUCGACAAUGGAACCCUCAAACCCUCUUUUAUCUCUCUCCACAUUCAUCCACCAGCAAUGCCACCGACUGGGGGCCGAGCUUGCCACUCGGCUUGGCGACACCACUCGAGCCCUGACCGCCAACCUUCAGCUGGGGCCAACUACCGGGAGAUUCCCUACAGCGCCGCUUUUCGCCUCUGUCUCUCUGCCAAAACACACUGCAGCUGCCAGCAUUUUGAGUUCAGAUCUCGUGGCGAAAACCCUUGCCGGCACGGCCGUGUUUACGGUGAGCAAUACCAACAAUGAGUUCGUGCACAUCUCCGAUCCUGAUGGAGCUAAGUCAGUUGGCUUGCUCUGCUUUCGCCAAGAAGACGCAGAAGCCUUUCUCGCUCAGAUUGGUACCUGUACAAUAUACGCAUACUUCUAUAUAUGAGUUUGUUAUGUUUUUCUUUCCUAUCUUCUUCUGUUGUCAUUUUCUUUUUAUUUGUUAAGGUUCGGCUGCGGAGAAGAGAAUUGCGAAGUGAGGCUAAGGUUGUGCCUAUCACUCUUGAUCAGGUGUACGUGUUAAAGGUCGAGGGAAUUGCAUUUUGGUUUUUGCCUGAUCCAGUACAAAUAAAGAAUGCAUUAGAGGUCAGUUCUCAUGAGUUAGUUUCUCAAAUAUUGCCUUUUAGAUAGAUUAGUUGAUUAGUUUCUCAAAUUUGGCCUUUUAGAUAGACCAAUAAAUAUGAUAGUAAAGGAACUUUGUGGCAUUAUCAUCCAUGGCCUAUAGCAAUGUAAUGCUACUGCAAGUCAUUGCCCAUUUUGGUUUAGAAGUAUUUAAAUUGUAUCAGAUCGUGUCCUUGUUUUUACAAACUGACUAGUGUACUUGCGCAAACUUUCAUAUUAGUUUCUUGCUGGUUUUUUCGUAUAUCAUUGAAGUUACUUGUUAAUGCAAUUAUACUAUUGAUCUUCUUGAGAUUAUCAUCCUUUGGCCUCUUUUAUAAGUUCUGAUAGACCCUUGGAGAGCAACUCUGUCUAAAGAAGCCCCAUAUUAGUAUCCAUUGUAUGCCUUCCUUCAGUAUGUGUGGAAAGUAGAGAAGAGGAAAACAAGAUAAUACUCAUGGGGUUUACUUAUCAUUUGGGUUGUGUGAGGGAGAAACUUCAACCAGAAGGUACCUCUGCAGUUCUGCUAGGAUUUGUAUAAUGAUGUUAUGAUAGCAACUUGUAUAUAUUGGGUUAAACAUGAAAUAUUCAUAUUGACAUUAUUUUGCCAGCUGAACUAUAUUCGAAUAAUAAUAGUGUUUUGUGUUUAUCAGCUGAAAGCUGCUGAUGUCAAGAGUGGUUUUGAUGGAGUUCCUGUUUUUCAGGUAUGCUAUGAAACCUGUUGCAUAUAUAGUCCGUCUCUUUAAGUGGAAGCAUGUCUAAAGUUGAUUCUAGGAUCAAAUGCCUCCAAUUCUGUAAUGCAUCACUGAUCAUACAGAUGGUUAAAACAUACAUAUGCAUUCACAUUUGUGCAGGGACAUCCAUAUUCUGGUUUAAUUAGCUACAUAUAUUCCCAAUAAUUUUUUCCAAUACCACCAUAUGACUCAGGUACAGGGGCCAUAUAGGUUUCCUUGUACUAUUUAUGUUUAUUUUCUCUUUUGUGGGUGUGGAUGUAUAAUGUUGUGCCAGAUUAUGUUGUAUCAUGAACUGUCUGCCUGCAGUCAGACGACCUGGUUGUGAAGAAGAAAAACAAGCGUUACUGCCCAAUAUAUUUCCAAAAGGAAGAUAUAGAAAAAGAACUGUCAAAGGUUUCUAGGGCAUCAAGAGCGCUGGGUCUUGCUCAACAUAUUAUGGUGGGAAGUUUAGAGGAUGUUCUGAGAAAAAUGGAGAUUAGUGAGAAGAAUUCAGGCUGGGAAGAUCUGAUUUUCAUUCCACCUGGUAAAAGCUGCUCUCAACAUAUUCAGGAGGUAGUUAAGUUAUGAUCAUUGGAUUUGUUACUUCAUCAGGCCAUAUGAAAAGGAUUAAACAGCAGCAAAUGUAACACAUGUUCCCAGACUCGUAAUGACGCAGAUGUAGUCUGGAGUAGCCUUGAGAUAUAAAGAAGAGAUAUCAUGUUGAAAGGGAUGAAAUAAGAAAAUGGACUAACAUUCAAUUCAGUAAAAAAGGUCAGUGAACUAACACUGAAUGCUUGACUUAUGCAAACUUGCUGCACUGUCUAUACAGUAUCAGACAUUGAUGAUCUGAAACUAUUAAGAGAUGUCAUGCUUUGGUCAGUUAAUUAAAUGACAAAUUUUCCAAAUGUUUCUCCCUUUUCUGUACUUGUAUUUUGCCUCGUGUUUUGAGUAGUGAAGUUUGGUUAACAUAUCUGGUAAGGGUUGAUGUCCGAUAAUGCUAUAUUAUGUUGAGCAUUUCUGCAUAAAUGGAGUCUAGCUAGUCAACCUUGCGUAGGCAAAUUUACUAAAAUGAAGAAUGACGGACAUUAGGUUUGUUUUACGGCUUUGUUGGCAUCAUAUCACUUCUGAUUAGUAUUCUCUAGUAAUUCUUCCAUCACCAACAUUGUAAAUUUGAAGACCUCAAUCUCUGUAUCAAAUAAUUAGGGAAAUUUUAUAAUGUUAAUAUGAAGAACCAUAGUUCUUGAAGAUUGUAUCUCUGUUAUAAACUUGUUGCAAG